UACGUAGGGUGCAAGCGUUAAUCGGAAUUACUGGGCGUAAAGCGUGCGCAGGCGGUUAUGUAAGACAGAUGUGAAAUCCCCGGGCUCAACCUGGGAACUGCAUUUGUGACUGCAUAGCUAGAGUACGGUAGAGGGGGAUGGAAUUCCGCGUGUAGCAGUGAAAUGCGUAGAUAUGCGGAGGAACACCGAUGGCGAAGGCAAUCCCCUGGACCUGGUACUGACGCUCAUGCACGAAAGGCGUGGGGAGCAAACAGG
rnacentral:rRNA from 1 species